rfam:Colius striatus contig94654, whole genome shotgun sequence.
GCCAAAUGAUGUGAAGUGUGUGACAUUAGCACUUUGUGCAAAGAUGACCUUCAUCUAUCACCCCAUACUGAUGGCU